rnacentral:rRNA from 1 species
AUUGAACGCUGGCGGCAGGCUUAACACAUGCAAGUCGAGCGGUAGCACAGGGGAGCUUGCUCCCUGGGUGACGAGCGGCGGACGGGUGAGUAAUGUCUGGGAAACUGCCUGAUGGAGGGGGAUAACUACUGGAAACGGUAGCUAAUACCGCAUAACGUCGCAAGACCAAAGAGGGGGACCUUCGGGCCUCUUGCCAUCAGAUAUGCCCAGAUGGGAUUAGCUAGUAGGUGGGGUAAUGGCUCACCUAGGCGACGAUCCCUAGCUGGUCUGAGAGGAUGACCAGCCACACUGGAACUGAGACACGGUCCAGACUCCUACGGGAGGCAGCAGUGGGGAAUAUUGGACAAUGGGCGCAAGCCUGAUGCAGCCAUGCCGCGUGUGUGAAGAAGGCCUUCGGGUUGUAAAGCACUUUCAGCGAGGAGGAAGGGGGUGAGCUUAAUACGUUCAUCAAUUGACGGUACUCGAAGAAGAAGCACCGGCUAACUCCGUG